UACGUAGGGUGCAAGCGUUAAUCGGAAUUACUGGGCGUAAAGCGUGCGCAGGCGGUUUUGUAAGUCUGAUGUGAAAUCCCCGGGCUCAACCUGGGAACUGCAUUUGAAACUACGGGGCUAGAGUGUGUCAGAGGGGGGUGGAAUUCCACGUGUAGCAGUGAAAUGCGUAGAGAUGUGGAGGAACACCAAUGGCGAAGGCAGCCCCCUGGGAUGACACUGACGCUCAUGCACGAAAGCGUGGGGAGCAAACAGG
rnacentral:rRNA from 1 species